rnacentral:misc_RNA from 1 species
AGAAUACAAAGAUUACAACCCAGAACCCAAACAAUUAAAAUGUAUAUAUUGGCUCAGAUAUCACAAUUGAUAUGGAAGUAUACAGAUUUUUCAUAUGCUCAUAAUCAGAAAGAACCAAAUGUAAAUGAUCUUGAUUCCAACCUGAUGCAAUAUCCAAAUUGAAUCAUGAAUAACAGAAGCCUCUGAGUUCAAUUAAUCGCAUCACACUUAUGCCGAAUCUCCCCUUGAUUGCCUGUCACAACUUUAUAAUUACUCAACUUCUCCAUCGCCCGAGCAAAAUCGUUGAAGAACUUUUUCUCAUCU